CGCGACCCGCACGGCCCGGACACGCCCGCCCUCAGGAAACGCCGGACGCUUGUGGGGGCAACCACGGACCGCAGGACAGAGACCCGCGGGCGGCGGGUUCUCUCGGUGGCGCCGUAUCCAGAGCAGCGCCCGCGUGCCCAGGCGGUGAUGUCGCCGCGGCCGAGGAUCCUCUGUGCCAGCUCCGGCCGCGCAGCCCGGGGAGGGCUGUAUACCGAUCUGCUCCGGACAUAUCUUAGUAGGGGCACCUACAACGAGAUGAAAAUGAGGGCAAAGAGAAAUCCUUGGAACUCCUUGAGCUCUGAGAAUUGGGAGCAACCUCAGGGAACCAGGUGCUCCAGGUGCUGAUAGACACAGGUUGAUUCCAAAUUGGUUAUUGUGAACAGUGCUGCAAUGAACAUAGGAGUGCAGCUAAGCCUUCAACGUAUUGAUUUCCUUUAUUUUGGGAUCCACCCUGAAACAGCAAACUGUAACUAGAUGGAAGGAUAAAAAUAAACAUGGCAAAGCAUCCACCCAUCUUGAAAACUUCUGCUCAGAGGUGGCAUCCAUCACUAUGCCUGACGUCAGUGGAACGGAAAAGUGGGACCCUCAUGUCUUGGAAAUGCAGCACUUAUUGGCUAACUCUCCUGCUGGAAAAGAAACAAAAAAUGAGCAAGCUGAACAAAUAUUAUAAGAAAAUAUUUUGAACCGACACUGAACCAGGCAAGCGGUGAUGAUAUGAGAGGUCAUGACCCAGAGACGAAGGAAGGAGCAGAGAUAUGCCUGCAAACUCAAAAGCUGCUUUUCCCAAGGAAGGAUUUUGUUUACCCAAAAGCCGUGCAAGGAAGACUAGAAAGGCUGAGUAGAGUGCUUGCUAAUCUCCUGGGUCUGUGAUGACAAAAGAUGAAAUUCAGAGCCCAUUAAAGAAGAAACCUGUGAAAUAUGCCAGAAUUAAAGUUAGGAUUCUUGAAGGACUGCACAUUAGCAGUAUGUGUAAAUCAAAAAAUAGAACAGCUCCCACAAAGAAUUCAGCCCAGAAUAAAAGUAUAUUUUAUGUGUGGAACAAAAUUAAAUAUAUUAAAGUGAAAUUUGACAGAAUACAAAAGAGAUAUUCUGAAAACCCUAAUAGCUAUUGAAACAUUUCACACAUGUAUCUCAUGCGUUAAUAGAAGCAGCCAAAAAUAUCAUUAUGGGGACUGGAAAUGUAAACAAUAUGAUUCAAAAAAUUGACCAAAUUGACAUAUAUUGAAUGCUAGUUGCAGUGAAUACAGAAUAGAAGGUCUUUCAGAUGUGUUAGAAUAGUCACCAAACUUAAUCAGACGUAGGAGCAUGAAGUUAUUCUCCAUAAAUGUCAGCGAAUCAAAUGUACACAUGUUGUGGUACCUGCUAACAUAUUAAAAUGUGUGGAUGCUGUUUUAGUCAUGGUAAGAAGGAAAUACACUCAAAUACAUAAGGCAGAUGGGAAGAAAGACUAGAAAUAAAUGAACAAAACAACAUCUUGAGAAGAGAGCAAAAAAAGCCUGGUUUCAUCCAAUGCAUACAUUAUUGAAAUAGAAAGAAGUAUUCAAUAGAGAAUCAAUAAAGCCAAAUUGUAGUACUUUCACAAGAUUAAUAAACCUAAUAAAACUAUAAUAAAACUGAGAAGUACAUGGAGAGAAGGUAGAAAUUAUAAGCAUCAAGGAUGAAAAAAUGGCCAUUAGUAGUAGUUCUAGAGAUAGUAUAAAGAUUAAAAUAAGAUGAUCAGACAAGUUGAUACUAAUAACUUGGAAUAUUUGAUUAAGUUGAAAAAUUCCUUGAAAAAUACAAUCCCUAGUUUGACUCAAGAAGACAAAAAUUAUGAUAUCUCUUAAAUAAAUUUUAUCCUAAUGUGAUCAUCUUCCUACAGUGAAAAUUCAAACUCAAAAAAUUCACAAAUGAAUUUUCCAAACGCUGAAAGAAAAAAUAUGUAACUUAAAAAUUCUUUGAGAUAUUUUUAAAAAAGAAGAAACAAUGUCCAACUAUUUUAUGAGACCAGAAUAACAUUUACAACAAAACAUAUAAAGACAUGACUCAAAAGUUAAAUUGAAAGGUAAUAUUUACUAUAAAUAUAUAUUCAAAAGUCAUGAAAAAAACACUACCAAACUUGUUUCAGUAAUAUAAGUCAGCUUGUGAAAAUUAGAGUUAUUCAUUAUUCUGUCAGACUGAAAGAAAGCCACAUGAUCCUUUCAAUUGCUUUACCAUGGCAUUUGAUAAAGUCCAAGUAUAUAAGCAUUCAAAAAAUGUUUAACAAACUAUGAAUGACAGGAACUUACAUCAUCAGAUAAUGCCUGUAGUAAAAAAAAAUAGCUGCAGACAAACCUCAUGUUCAUUCAUGAAACUUUCCCCCUAAGAAAUUAAGAAUAAGAAAACAUUGCUUUCUGUUAAAAUUUAAAGGUGUUAGCUAGUUAAAUAAGGAAAAUAAUGUAAGAUCCAGAAAGUAAGUAAUUAAAAUAUCAUUUUUCCAGAAUGUAUAAUUGUAUAAGUUCAAAAUUCAGAAUCAUCUACAGAUAAAUUAGAAUUAAUGACUUGCUGCCUUAUGAAAUAAAAGAACCAUAUAUAACAAGUGAGUAUAUCUUUACAACAACCUUAGAAUUUCCCACACUCAACAAUUCAAUUACAGAAUAUUAUAAAUUCCACUUAUAUCAAAUCCUGUAUUACCUUAUGACGUCAAGUAUUAACUUUGCCACUCUAUUUGACAUUGCAAGCCACCAAUCCAUGUCUAGCAAUUUUAACCUUCUGACUUUAUUCUAUUUUUAUUUUCAUAGCACACCUCUCUUUGUAACUAAAUACAUUAUUUAUUUAUUUAUUGUAUAUAUAAUUUAUUAUCUGUUUUUCCCUAAGUUCCCUGUGGAUGUGACUUAUGCUUGUUUUAUUCAUUGUUGUAUCUCAUAUGUGUAGAUCUGUGUUUGGUACAUAAUAGGGACUCAUUUCUGUAAGGGUUGUUUGACCUCAUGGGAUACCACCAAUUCACUCCAUUAUCAUUGCCACUCUUUAGGUUCUGAAAAGGUGAAUUGAAUUACGUGAAUUGAAUUGCGUGUUAUUAAAAACGUUUUUACA
rnacentral:lncRNA from 10 species